UACGUAGGUGGCAAGCGUUAUCCGGAAUUAUUGGGCGUAAAGAGCGCGCAGACGGUUAUUUAAGCCAGAUGUGAAAUCCCCGAGCUUAACUUGGGACGUGCAUUUGGAACUGGAUAGCUAGAGUGUGUCAGAGGGAGGUAGAAUUCCACGUGUAGCAGUGAAAUGCGUAGAGAUGUGGAGGAAUACCGAUGGCGAAGGCAGCCUCCUGGGAUAACACUGACGUUCAUGCUCGAAAGCGUGGGUAGCAAACAGGAUUAGA
rnacentral:rRNA from 1 species